rnacentral:rRNA from 1 species
GAAGUUAGCGGCGGACGGGUGAGUAACACGUGGGUAACCUACCUAUAAGACUGGGAUAACUUCGGGAAACCGGAGCUAAUACCGGAUAACAUUUAGAACCGCAUGGUUCUAAAGUGAAAGAUGGUUUUGCUAUCACUUAUAGAUGGACCCGCGCCGUAUUAGCUAGUUGGUAAGGUAACGGCUUACCAAGGCGACGAUACGUAGCCGACCUGAGAGGGUGAUCGGCCACACUGGAACUGAGACACGGUCCAGACUCCUACGGGAGGCAGCAGUAGGGAAUCUUCCGCAAUGGGCGAAAGCCUGACGGAGCAACGCCGCGUGAGUGAUGAAGGGUUUCGGCUCGUAAAACUCUGUUAUUAGGGAAGAACAAAUGUGUAAGUAACUGUGCACAUCUUGACGGUACCUAAUCAGAAAGCCACGGCUAACUACGUGCCAGCAGCCGCGGUAAUACGUAGGUGGCAAGCGUUAUCCGGAAUUAUUGGGCGUAAAGCGCGCGUAGGCGGUUUCUUAAGUCUGAUGUGAAAGCCCACGGCUCAACCGUGGAGGGUCAUUGGAAACUGGGAAACUUGAGUGCAGAAGAGGAAAGUGGAAUUCCAUGUGUAGCGGUGAAAUGCGCAGAGAUAUGGAGGAACACCAGUGGCGAAGGCGACUUUCUGGUCUGUAACUGACGCUGAUGUGCGAAAGCGUGGGGAUCAAACAGGAUUAGAUACCCUGGUAGUCCACGCCGUAAACGAUGAGUGCUAAGUGUUAGGGGGUUUCCGCCCCUUAGUGCUGCAGCUAACGCAUUAAGCACUCCGCCUGGGGAGUACGACCGCAAGGUUGAAACUCAAAGGAAUUGACGGGGACCCGCACAAGCGGUGG